GACGAACGCUGGCGGCGUGCUUAACACAUGCAAGUCGAACGGAAAGGCCCUGCUUGCAGGGUACUCGAGUGGCGAACGGGUGAGUAACACGUGGGUGAUCUGCCCUGCACUUCGGGAUAAGCUUGGGAAACUGGGUCUAAUACCGGAUAGGACUGCACUUUAGUGUGUGUGGUGGAAAGUUUUUUCGGUGUAGGAUGAGCUCGCGGCCUAUCAGCUUGUUGGUGGGGUAAUGGCCUACCAAGGCGGCGACGGGUAGCCGGCCUGAGAGGGAGUACGGCCACAUUGGGAAUGAGAUACGGCCCAGACUCCUACGGGAGGCAGCAGUGGGGAAUAUUGCACAAUGGGCGCAAGCCUGAUGCAGCGACGCCGCGGGGGGGAUGAAGGCCUUCGGGUUGUAAACCCCUUUCGCUAGGGACGAAGCUUUUUGUGACGGUACCUAGAUAAGAAGCACCGGCUAACUACGUG
rnacentral:rRNA from 1 species